GACGAGGCACUACGGUGCUGAAGCAACAAAUGCCCUGCUUCCAGGAAAAGCCUCUAAGCAUCAGGUAACAUCAAAUCGUACCCCAAACCGACACAGGUGGUCAGGUAGAGAAUACCAAGGCGCUUGAGAGAACUCGGGUGAAGGAACUAGGCAAAAUGGUGCCGUAACUUCGGGAGAAGGCACGCUGACACGUAGGUGAAGUGAUUUACUCAUGGAGCUGAAGUCAGUCGAAGAUACCAGCUGGCUGCAACUGUUUAUUAAAAACACAGCACUGUGCAAACACGAAAGUGGACGUAUACGGUGUGACGCCUGCCCGGUGCCGGAAGGUUAAUUGAUGGGGUCAGCGCAAGCGAAGCUCCUGAUCGAAGCCCCGGUAAACGGCGGCCGUAACUAUAACGGUCCUAAGGUAGCGAAAUUCCUUGUCGGGUAAGUUCCGACCUGCACGAAUGGCGUAAUGAUGGCCAGGCUGUCUCCACCCGAGACUCAGUGAAAUUGAACUCGCUGUGAAGAUGCAGUGUACCCGCGGCAAGACGGAAAGACCCCGUGAACCUUUACUAUAGCUUGACACUGAACAUUGAGCCUUGAUGUGUAGGAUAGGUGGGAGGCUUUGAAGUGUGGACGCCAGUCUGCAUGGAGCCGGCCUUGAAAUACCACCCUUUAAUGUUUGAUGUUCUAACGUGGACCCGUUACCCGGGUUGCGGACAGUGUCUGGUGGGUAGUUUGACUGGGGCGGUCUCCUCCUAAAGAGUAACGGAGGAGCACGAAGGUUGGCUAAUCCUGGUCGGACAUCAGGAGGUUAGUGCAAUGGCAUAAGCCAGCUUGACUGCGAGCGUGACGGCGCGAGCAGGUGCGAAAGCAGGUCAUAGUGAUCCGGUGGUUCUGAAUGGAAGGGCCAUCGCUCAACGGAUAAAAGGUACUCCGGGGAUAACAGGCUGAUACCGCCCAAGAGUUCAUAUCGACGGCGGUGUUUGGCACCUCGAUGUCGGCUCAUCACAUCCUGGGGCUGAAGUAGGUCCCAAGGGUAUGGCUGUUCGCCAUUUAAAGUGGUACGCGAGCUGGGUUUAGAACGUCGUGAGACAGUUCGGUCCCUAUCUGCCGUGGGCGCUGGAGAACUGAGGGGGGCUGCUCCUAGUACGAGAGGACCGGAGUGGACGCAUCACUGGUGUUCGGGUUGUCAUGCCAAUGGCACUGCCCGGUAGCUAAAUGCGGAAGAGAUAAGUGCUGAAAGCAUCUAAGCACGAAACUUGCCCCGAGAUGAGUUCUCCCUGAGACUUUAGGUCUCCUGAAGGAACGUUGAAGACGACGACGUUGAUAGGCCGGGUGUGUAAGCGCAGCGAUGCGUUGAGCUAACCGGUACUAAUGAACCGUGAGGCUUAACCUU
rnacentral:rRNA from 1 species